UAAGUCUUACAUAUGAGUGGUGCAGUAUCCUAGUCAGUCUACCUUUCUGAAGGCGGGCCUAAAAAUUCGCCAAAGGGCACAUCGAUGAAGUUCCUGGUGUUGGCUUUCGACGCCCAGUCGGGGGCUGAUGCUGGGAGUUAAGGUUGUGGGGCGAUCCACAAUGGCAUGUGGGCGUUGACCCCGCUUCCGCGGAGGCCCAAGUUCGUGGCUUUUGCGCCCUCGCGCGCCCGGUUACGGCUUGGGGUAUGAACCUGCAUUGCGAGUCGAAUCUGUCUCAUUUUAUAUCAUUAUGAGCGGGAAGUAGCAUCUAUGACUUGUUUGCAGCGUAGCCUGCCUUGAGUGAAUCAGCAGGGAUUAUGGAAGUGUAGGCGGAUAUCGCUUCGGCCAAAGCGCUAUUCUCCGGAUGCUAUAUGAAAGCUGAUUUGCAAAAGAGGCUAAGGAAUGGUUUAAAGACUGUCGGAGGAAAACUCCUAGGCUGUUCACGCAGUGAGGCUUUUUGAGGAUUAUAGUGUGGACUAAGUGGUAAUCCAGUCUGACGGCCGGCAACGGGGUCAAGACGAGCGUAAAGGGAAACCGCCUUUUCGGCGACGAGGAGGUGUCUUGUCUGGGAAAACCUACUGGACCUAAGCCACAGCGUUUACUCAAAAAGUUGCCACUCACUUUCCAUACUUA
rnacentral:sRNA from 1 species